CAGCCGCCGCGGGAAAACGGAGGGUGCAAGCGUUAAUCGGAAUUACUGGGCGUAAAGCGCACGCAGGCGGUCUGUCAAGUCGGAUGUGAAAUCCCCGGGCUCAACCUGGGAACUGCAUUCGAAACUGGCAGGCUAGAGUCUUGUAGAGGGGGGUAGAAUUCCAGGUGUAGCGGUGAAAUGCGUAGAGAUCUGAAGGAAUACCGGUGGCGAAGGCGGCCCCCUGGACAAAGACUGACGCUCAGGUGCGAAAGCGUGGGGAGCAAACAGGAUUAGAUACCCGAGUAGUCCCUGUCUCUUAUAC
rnacentral:rRNA from 1 species